rnacentral:rRNA from 1 species
AGAGUUUGAUCCUGGCUCAGGAUGUUUGCUGGCGGUGUGCCUAACACAUGCAAGUCGAACGGACUUAUAACGAAACCUAGUGAAUUAUAAGUUAGUGGCGGACGGGUGAGUAACGCGUGGAAAUCCUGCCGUAUACUGGGGGAUAACACUUAGAAAUAGGUGCUAAUACCGCAUAAGCGCACAGCUUCGCAUGAAGCAGUGUGAAAAACUCCGGUGGUAUACGAUGGUUCCGCGUCUGAUUAGCUAGUUGGUGAGGUAAAAGCCCACCAAGGCAACGAUCAGUAGCCGGCCUGAGAGGGUGAAUGGCCACAUUGGGACUGAGACACGGCCCAGACUCCUACGGGAGGCAGCAGUGGGGGAUAUUGCACAAUGGGGGAAACCCUGAUGCAGCGACGCCGCGUGAGUGAAGAAGUAUUUCGGUACGUAAAGCUCUAUCAGCAGGGAAGAAAAAAAGUCCACAGGACUUUGGACGGUACCUGACUAACACCCCCCGGCUAACUACGUGCCAGCAGCCGCGGUAAUACGUAGGGGGCAAGCGUUAUCCGGAUUUACUGGGUGUAAAGGGAGCGUAAACGGCUGUGCAAGUCUGAAGUGAAAUGCCGGGGCCCCACCCCGGAACUGCUUUGGAAACUGUACAGCUAGAGUGCAGGAGGGGUGAGCGGAAUUCCUAGUGUAG